AGGAUUGUUUGGUCUCAGUCAGACUGCGAGGACUGCUCACACAGACACUGGUGAUCGAUCACCUGAAUUCAUCUCCUCACUUUUGCAGACACCAUGGGUCCUCGGCAGUCCACCAUUCAUAUUACGAACAAGACUCAGGGCUACACCCUUCAAAACCCCAGUCUGCAUCUUGUUAGCGGACUCUGCCAAAUCCCUUUGCCAACAAGACUUGGGCCUUCUGAAUGUGGCAACGCUCUGUUCUCUAAGACUGGCGGCACAGCGCGUGGAUCUGUUGGCGUCUUCACCUACGAUCUCUACGAUGCAGCUGCAGACAGAGCUGAUAAGAAAAUAGGUGUCAUGUUCUCUGUUCCUUUUGACUACGGCCUGUACUCUAACUGGUACGCAGUCGGAGUCUUUGACAGGGAAACAAACUGUGAUAGUGCUCUUUAUCUUAACAUGUAUCACAAUCCUGAGAGAAAGUUUGUCAGAGGAAAAGCUGAUGGUUAUGAUCUGACUCACAGAGAUAUUAAUGUUCUUGUUAAAUCCAGCAUGACAAACUUCAGCGUUGCAACACUGAAAGUUGAAGUACACAACAUUGACUAAAGUAAUUAUGCAAAUAUGAGGUCAGAUUUUUUUAGGGCAGAUCUUGAGAAAAGGCCUGAUCACCCUUCAUUAGUAUUAUUUUUACUUAUCAGGAUAAACAAAUAUAAACUCACAGAUAUUAACUUAAGUUAACGCAGGGUUUCCCCAUCUUCCACAGAAAAUGGUCCUUACAACAUCUACACAAGAGACAUUAGGAAUAGUGACGAAAAAAGGAUCAUGAAUAUAAAAGAAAUACCAGUAAAACACAAUCCUGUUGUAAAAAGGACAUGUGAUUAAUGAUCAGUAUGGCUGUUUAUUUCACAGGUGUGAUUGGUUGAACAGGUAUUAAGUGUUCCAUGUUUGUGGCAGUGUAACGGACUCAUCAGUAGAUCAGAAUCAUUUUCUGAUCACAUGAACACAUUUCACCCAGCAGAUAAUGUCACUGAAAACAUACUUUAAAAGACUCAGUGAAGAAAAAGAAGAAGCUUCAAACUGAUUUUAGACUGAACUCUGGACAUAACCUGCUCCUGACAGUUUGAGUUUAUAUUCUCUCAUCUGCAGCUGUUUGAGAUUGUGAACCUGCUCCGUAGUACAGAAACUCAGGUUAACCCUGAAAUAACCUGAAUGAGCAAAAUUCUCUGGAGUUAAAACCUUUAGUAGUUUAAAAAUAAAGUUUUAACAUCGAAUCAUUAACGAUCAGCUGAGCAGGUCACACGUGCUUGCAUAGAUGGGAUGUAAUGAGUUGGAUUAUUGAUGAAAUCAGACUGAAACUCUCCACCAAAUGUUUUUAGAAAAUCAUCACUAAACUUUGAGGAAGUAAUGGAAGGUUUCAAGGAUUUAAUAAUCUUUUAUUGGUUCUGCUGUAAAUACUUUCUGAGAAACAUGUCAUGGUCCUGAGUCUGACGACUCAGUGUUUUGUGUUUCUUUAUAUCAUCCUAAGUUCUUGUUUAUUGUGUUAUGUCUUUUGUUUGGGUUUGCUAUGUGUUUGGUUUUGUUUAUGCCUGUGUUCCCUCUGUCUGUCCACGGUGUCUGCUUGUAAGUCUGUUAAGUUCAGUGUCUUAUCAGGUCCUCUGUGUCUGUUUUCUGUUUUAUUCUGAAGGUCCUUGUCUCAUGUGGGUGUUUCUGUUUACGUUUCCCCGUCUCGUCGGGUGUGGUUUCUUCCAGGUGUGUUCCCCUCCUGUUUCCAUUCCCUGAUUACUCCCCUGUGUAUUUAAGCCCUGUGUUUUCCUGUGCUCUCUGUUGCAUCGUACUCUCACGUUACUGUGUUCUGUCUGCUACUUUGUUUUUGUAUUCUCAAUUUAGUUAAGUUCCUGUUCUGUUGCUAUCAGCAAUACAGCUGAGUAUUUUUGAGUCCUGCAUUUUGGGUCCUUUCUCCCUGCCUGCACACAGCCAUGACAAAAUACUAAUUUGAUGUUUCCCGUGCAUUAAUUUCAACAUGUGAUUCUUUGUUUUCUGAGCCCUAAACCAAUAAAU